AGCCUCCCCGGCAGCUGCCUGUUGUAAAAGAAGGUCCUCCAGGCGCGCAUCGUACUUCCUGUCGGCGUGCGUAUCCACCAGCUGUCGAGCCGCCGCCGCCUGCUGCGUCACCAGAUCAGUGAGGGCCACAAGCUGACUCCUCAAUCACGGACCUCUUUGGAUAGCGGAGGCAGCGGGUAUCUCCGCUUCCUCAAAGUCGCGCAUCGUCCGCUCCAACUACUUAGUGCGUGAAGUAGCAUUGACACUACAACAUCAUAAAAGCGCAAGUUAAUAUAACCCACGCUAUCGCAACCCGCUUCAAUAAUAUAAUCCCAAUAUGCGAAAGUAAAGAGUCCCAACUACUAACUCCGAUGUUACAUGUCGGCGCCAACGUAACGCUCGCGGAAGUUAGAAGUCAAACUACGAUUUAACUCACUUUCUAGAGUUAUCCAAGAUACCCAAUCCAGAUACUUUCGCUUACAAGUCAAAUAGACCUCGUCUCUCCCGAGCCUAUUUCCUAUAGUCCAAUCCGGCCUAAGGUUUGCUAGGUCCCCUAAUACUCAACCCUAGCUCUGAUACCAAAUUAAUCUGUCCAUAUAUCUAUCUGUUUAUUGAACUAACCUGCAGGUUGCCUCUCUUUGACCUAUUGGUCGAGCUUUUCCCUUGGGUGGCCGUACCCACUGGGAACCAUGGAGUUGGUUCUCACCCCACGUUGUUUUGGGGUGUUACAGGUUCGCACGUGAGCGGCGCGGCGGCGCGAGGCAAGGGCGUAGCUUCGUAGAUAGCGCCCUACCCAGAGACCAGAGUUAGCAGUACCCCGUCGACAUAGCUUAGGGGUAUGGGGUGUUAUUAAUGAAAAGAACACAAUGUAUCAACGUGUAAAUAAAUUUGUAAGAACUUAGAUUGCAUUUGGAUGAAAAAGAAUGUAAAAAGAACUGUGAUGUAAAAAGUAUGAAUGUAAAUGUUUGUAAUAAUAUAGGAUGUGUUUAUGUUGUUUGAUACCUUCCAUUAUGCAAUCUUGAUUGAUAUCAGUUCCUGAUUGGAACCUUCGUAUUGUAUGGAUUGCGUUGCCUUGAAUGUACAGGGGAGACUCUGUCCGCAGUACAGGGGAAACCCUGUCCAUUCGGCGAUGUCGGCGGCGCUGCGACCUCGGCCAAAUAGGCGGGUGGUCGCGAGUCGUGACAGGAACACUGUCAACGACCCACCAGAAAGUCUGGAAAAGCUCGACACACAAAUCAAACACUCGAACCUCGCAAUUUGCAAAGGUCCAGUGUGUUACAUUCACCCCUCCUAAAAAGGAGUUUCGUCCGCGAAACUCAAGGCAGAAACACACCUCAAGGCUCCAUCUGAAAAAGAUGAGGAUAGCGCUCCUGCAAAGCGCUCUCUAGUUCCCACGUUGCCUCCCGCUCCCCGUGGUUGCUCCAAAGAACCUUCACAUACGGAAUAUCCCGAUUCCGCAGUUUCUUCAUUUCGCGAGCCAAAAUCUUCACUGGUUGCUCCUCGAAGCUCAAAUCCUCGCGCAGCUCCACUGGUAUAGCUUCCAAGACAUGAGCUGGAUCAAGAAUGCACCUCCGAAGGACCGAUACAUGAAAGACGUUGUGCACGCCAGAUAGGUUCGGUGCUAGAGCAAGUCGAUACGCUACCGGACCCAUACGCUCCAAGAUCUCAUACGGUCCAAUGAAACGGGGGCUCAACUUUCCCCGAAUCCCGAAUCUCUUGAUUCCUCUAGUCGGCGAGACUUUCAAGAAAACAUGGUCUCCCACUUGGAACUCCAAGUCCCGCCGCCGUCGAUCAGCGUAGCUCCUCUGUCUACUCUGCGCCGUCAAAAGUCGCUCCCGAGCAAUUCGAACCUUAUCCUCAGCUUCCUGGAGCACAUCAGGGCCUAAAGCCAAUCUCUCGCCGACUUUACUCCAAUGAAGUGGCAAUCUACACUUCCGUCCAUAGAGUGCUUCAAACGGCGCCAUCUUGAUGCUUGCUUGAUAACUGUUGUUAUAAGCAAACUCCGCCAUAGGUAGAUGCUGCGACCAUCCUCCCUGGAAAUCCAUCACACAUGCCCGGAGCAUAACCUCUAAAGUCUGUAUAGUGCACUCCGACUGUCCAUCACUCUGCGGGUGGAAUGCGGUGGUGAAAUCCAAUCAAGUGCCCAAAACGUCCUGCAGACUCCUCCAAAAGAGAGACACGAACCGAGUGUCUCGAUCUGAUACUAUCGGUGUAGGCACUCCAUGAAGUCGCACAAUCUCGUCGAGGUACACUUGUGCGAGCUUCUCCCCAGUCCAAGUCAUAUGAAUACGUAUGAAGUGCGCCGACUUCGUCAAUCUAUCCGCGAUCACCCAAAUAGCAUCAUGCCCAGCCUGUGAGCGAGGCAAUCCUGUCACAAAGUCCAUGGUGAUCUUCUCCCACUUCCACACAGGGACAGGUAAACUCCGAAGCUUCCCUGCGGGAACUCGGUGCUCCACUUUUACUUGUUGGCAAGUUAGACAACGAGCCACAAACUCACCAACGUCCUUUUUCAUCUCGGGCCACCAAUGAAGCAACUUUAGAUCCUUGUACAUCUUGGUGCCACCCGAAUGUAUAGCAUAGAGCGCCCGGUGCGCUUCUUGAAGAAUAUCUUCUUUAAUCCCCGAAUCCGCGGGUAUACAAAUCCGCCCACGGAAACGUAUCCAUCUCAGAUCAUCCCAAAAGGGAGUCGCUGGUGCAACCAUCAACCAUUUUACCUUGAAUCUUUUGCAAUUCCAAAACGAAAACUUGCUUCUCUUUGAUCCUAUCCAAAAGACUAGGUUGCACUACCAAAUUCAUCAACCUCAAAUUCACCACUCGGGAGUACUCUCAAUCCCACUGCAAAAUAUGGUCGGGGCUAAGCUCAAAAGCUUCAUCAGUCUACUAAGAUCGUCAUCUUAGUGCUAACUCAAGUCCAAGUAAACUCUCACAAGCCUAGGCCAAAAGGCCUAGCUUCGACAGAAGGCUCACAACGCAAUCACUUUGAAAUUUCCGAUCCCAAUGCCUUUCCUAGCAUUGGAUGCUCCAGGUGUCCAUGGUCCCCAACUCAAUUCUCGCGAUAGAGGUGGAUCAAUCCACCGUUCAACGACAGCUCUCUAUCAAAGUCAUCCUGAUGCGAUCGUCAAACCAAAGUCAAUUCCAUCAGUCCUCAUAUAAGGUUCUAUCCUGAAGGACUCAAUUCCUUGUACGCGCUCCUGACACGGGGAAUUAUCAACUUGGUACCUUCCCUCUCACAAGUUUUCCAUCCAUCAGUGAGAGUUCCACAACUCAAUCACCUCAAACCUGCCUACGCAGUCCAACCUCGCACAUCCUAUCAAAAUACCCCAAGUCAUCCGCAACGGUUCUACAAAUCCACCCAGAGGGCUCGGAUUUAUCAUUCCGCGAACCCUUCCACAGGUAGAGUAUUAUAGGCUUAGGCAGCAUCAUCCUCGUGAUGUCCACACCUAGCAUCACAACCCAUUUGAGGUACGACCUCAAACUCCAACAUCAACAGCAUUACUCAGAUUACUCACAAUCUUAACAAGUACACCCACAACUCAAGGCCAUCUGACAAGGUCAAUGGGCCUCAGCAACGGUCUAAACCUCCAAUCGUGGUUCAAUUUGAAUCACGAGAGUCGACAUACAGUCGGAACGGCCCAACCGGUCCCACAACAGGUGAGAGUGCUCCUCCACGAGGCAAAACACCAUCUAUAAAAUCUCCCUGUCAAUUGAGCUAACGAUUAGUGACUCGAUCGGGGACAUAACGACCGAUCAAGGACAUUCUUUAUUUCAAGGAUUCUCGAUCACCCAAAGCUAAUGGCCACUCAGGCCCCAACCCUCUCCAACACUUACCCUAUUUUAGGUAAGGGAGACUAUCAACGCAUCUAGCGGAAGUAAAUCCUCAAAUCGCACUAUUUCGUGCUCACCGUCCUCAAGGCGAGUCAAGUCAGCUCGCAAUCCAAGGGUACCAGGUACCCCUAACAACUCCACACCAAGGAAGGCCAAUCUAUUUGUUGGCACACAGAAUCAUCUCACGGGGUAGGGCGUUCGAAACGACACACCCGAUCAACCGAUCAUCCACACACGCCGAAAGGUUCAACACUAACAAAUCCUCAGGUUGGGUAACUACACACUAAGUGUGUCCUCGAUCUCACGAUCCAACACGUGGCUUUCCACGUUCUAGGGUCCACGCUCAGACUACCAUCCUGACCAAAACUCUGCCCUACCCGCAGGUACAGGGCCGCUGUCACACACAGCCGACUGCACCUGCCCAACGGGCCCAGGCUCCACAGUCCCCAAAUGGUCCAAGCACGGUCGUCUCCAAGCACUAUCCGGCAAACAGCCGAGCCGGGGUACAACUAAUGCAAUCCUCGUGAAAUCUACAAGCAUAGCAAAAUAUGCCACCCGCAACCCGCAAAUCAAUCGCCUGGCUCGAGAGGCUACACAAUGUCGCAAACAGCGAACUAACGAAAUGUAAUGCAACUCGGUGAAUAGCCGAUCAUAGAUGCAAUGCUCCAAUAACCAACAAUGCACAACUCGAAUGCCACAAACGAAACUGAUACCUGUAGUCACAAACUCGGCCGCUGCCGCCUACUCUGUCUGGGCCACGUACAGGCGUCUGCUCAGGGCCCGUCGUGACCCUCCGUCUGUCGCUGGACGGGUGGCCUUCCGGCCUGACAGUGAGUAAAAGGCAUCCCCCGGCUGGGAUCCGGUAAUACUGGUACCGAUGCUGAAGAUGGCGCUGAUGCUAACCCCCUCGAACAGUCUGACAGGAAGUGACCCUCCUGGCCACACGAGUAGCACCUGCCCUGCCUCUGUGAGCACUGCUGCGGGUAAUGACGGCCACCGCAGAUCACGCAGCUCUGAGUCUGAUGACGCUCGGAUCCUCUAUACAGUGCUGAUGAGCCACGUUCUCGCGACUGGCUCCAGUUCCUGGAAUGUCUCGGCGGCCUCCCAGAGUGCGUCUGACUCGCACCCUCAGUCACGGGUCUCAUACCAUUUCCUUUGUUUGAGCCUUUCCGACGCUCCUGUAAGUCUGCCGCGCAGCUUUCCACGAUGAGGGCGCGGUUCACCACGUCUUGGUAAGUCUGAAGGUGGAAGGGUUGCACCAACCGUAAAAUCGAUGACCGAAGUCCUCGCUCGAAGAUGCGAGCCUUAUCCUCGUCGUCUCGCACAACAAAGGGCGCAUAGCGUAGAAGCUGAGAGAACUCCCUCUCGUACUCGGCCACAGUCCGAUCCUCCUAGCGCAUCUCGGGCAGAUCCUGCUCCACUUUCCUCUUCACGCGGACGAGGAAGUAAUGCUCUAAUAAGAGCUCCUUGAAUCUCUUUCAAGAAAUCGCUGCUAGGUCGGUGUCGGGAUUAUCCUGGAUGCCCACCCACCAACUAUAGGCCUCGCCGUCCAAAUGGUGAGUGGCGAGCCAAACUCUAUCUCUCUCCUCCACGAAGGUGUCGCGGAAUAACUUCUCCAUAUGCGUCAACCACUUCUCAACGAUCCAGUGGUCGGUUUUCUCUCCAUCAAAGAUCCUGGGAUCGCGCCUCCGGAACUCGUCGAGGCGAUCCAUGAGCCGCUGCCGCUCCGCUCUUUCAACCAUCAAGGGAAAAGUCGCCGCUGUCACAGACACCUGAGCUGGUGGUGCUGUCAAUGCCUUCUCCCGAAGGGCUACCGUAAGUGUCAUCUGCGAAGUGUCGAGUACAGGGGAUGACCCCCCCGGGCGCAACUAUUUCCACUGGUGCGGGUAGUACCGAGACCUGAGCCUCCCCGGCAGCUGCCUGUUGUAGAAGAAGGUCCUCCAGUCGCUGCAUCCGUACCUCCUGUCGGCGUGCCGUAUCCACCAGCUGUCGAGCCGCCGCCGCCUGCUGCGUCACCAGAUCAGUGAGGGCCACAAGCUGACUCCUCAACUCACGGACCUCUUUGGAUCCGGAGGCAGCGGGUAUCUCCGCUUCCUCAAAAGUCGUCGCAUCGUCCGCUCCAACUAACUUAGAGCGUGAAGUCGGCAUUGACACUUCAACAUCAUAAAAGCGCAAGUUAAUAUAACCCACGCUAUCGCAACC
rnacentral:lncRNA from 1 species